rnacentral:rRNA from 1 species
GACUGCUACUACCGCACAAUGUCUACGGACCAAAGGGGGCUUCGGCUCUCGCCUUUAGAUUGGCCCAAGUGGGAUUAGCUAGUUGGUGAGGUAAUGGCUCACCAAGGCGACGAUCCCUAGCUGGUUUGAGAGGAUGAUCAGCCACACUGGGACUGAGACACGGCCCAGACUCCUACGGGAGGCAGCAGUGGGGAAUAUUGCACAAUGGGCGCAAGCCUGAUGCAGCCAUGCCGCGUGUGUGAAGAAGGCCUUCGGGUUGUAAAGCACUUUCAGUCAGGAGGAAAGGUUAGUAGUUAAUACCUGCUAGCUGUGACGUUACUGACAGAAGAAGCACCGGCUAACUCCGUGCCAGCAGCCGCGGUAAUACGGAGGGUGCGAGCGUUAAUCGGAAUUACUGGGCGUAAAGCGUACGCAGGCGGUUUGUUAAGCGAGAUGUGAAAGCCCCGGGCUCAACCUGGGAACUGCAUUUCGAACUGGCAAACUAUAGUGUGAUAGAGGGUGGUAGAAUUUCAGGUGUAGCGGUGAAAUGCGUAGAGAUCUGAAGGAAUACCGAUGGCGAAGGCAGCCACCUGGGUCAACACUGACGCUCAUGUACGAAAGCGUGGGGAGCAAACGGGAUUAGAUACCCCGGUAGUCCACGCCGUAAACGAUGUCUACUAGAAGCUCGGAGCCUCGGUUCUGUUUUUCAAAGCUAACGCAUUAAGUAGACCGCCUGGGGAGUACGGCCGCAAGGUUAAAACUCAAAUGAAUUGACGGGGGCCCGCACAAGCGGUGGAGCAUGUGGUUUAAUUCGAUGCAACGCGAAGAAUCUUACCUACACUUGACAUACAGAGAACUUACCAGAGAUGGUUUGGUGCCUUCGGGAACUCUGAUACAGGUGCUGCAUGGCUGUCGUCAGCUCGUGUUGUGA